AACGAACGCUGGCGGCAGGCUUAACACAUGCAAGUCGAACGCCCCGCAAGGGGAGUGGCAGACGGGUGAGUAACGCGUGGGAACAUACCCUUUUCUACGGAAUAGCUCUGGGAAACUGGAAUUAAUACCGUAUACGCCCUACGGGGGAAAGAUUUAUCGGGGAAGGAUAGGCCCGCGUUGGAUUAGCUAGUUGGUGGGGUAAAGGCCUACCAAGGCGACGAUCCAUAGCUGGUCUGAGAGGAUGAUCAGCCACAUUGGGACUGAGACACGGCCCAAACUCCUACGGGAGGCAGCAGUGGGGAAUAUUGGACAAUGGGCGCAAGCCUGAUCCAGCCAUGCCGCGUGAGUGAUGAAGGCCUUAGGGUUGUAAAGCUCUUUCACCGAUGAAGAUAAUGACGGUAGUCGGAGAAGAAGCCCCGGCUAACUUCGUG
rnacentral:rRNA from 1 species